GGUUAAGGAACUUUAUAUUUAUCUUGACCAGCAUGAGGAAGUCUGAGCCUCAUUAACUGAGGAAGGUGGAUGGAUAGCAUAUGGAACACACCGCACACGAGACGGCGCUUCCCUUCCCAGGGCAACUGGGUCAUUUGUAUUAUCUACAUGAGCUCCGAUUUUCCUUUUGGAAAUACUGAGUUGCUAACUGUUCUCUCUGUCCCAAGGGAAGAAAAUCCAGACAGAUGGCUUCAGAGAAACCUUGCAUCUUUAAGGGAAGAUAUCCUCCUGGAACAAUAAUUAAUGCUGGUGAUGCUGUUCAUGCCUGGGAAACUGGUGCCAUGAGACAGGUUGUGCUCUUGGGUCACCAGAGAAAGCCUAUUUGCCCCAUGCUGGGCUCAGGGAGAGCUGGGUGCUCCAACUGGUCCGAGUAUGGCUCAGAGGUACCACACAACAAGCACACCUGCCUGGCAGCAGAUGGACACCCACAGCACAAAGCAAGAGGACAAGAGGGAUUUCCUGAAGCAAAUCCAGGACUUGCUGAGAUACAGACACCACCACUCUGAGCUAUAGGAGGGACAGACCAUCUCCUAUGACUGUUUUCUGAGUGGAUCACUGAAAGCAUGAAUGAGCAUUGUAAUGUUAUAGCACAUCUUUUCAGUGGUGUGGAGCACAAAAAUCCUACUCUCAUAUGGCAGUAAUAUGCAGUGUUUAACAAAAAUAUAUAAAGUAAAGAAAUUCAAGGUAAAUUGGAGCGAUUUACUAUUUUUACUCAUGUUACCUCUAAUUCAGCAGACAGGUUUUCUGCCCCUCUCUCUAG
rnacentral:lncRNA from 1 species